CUGACUCCUUAACUUUUGUCUGUGUCCCUGUAGAAGGCAGAGAAUCUCUGUUGCUGUUCCUGAAGAUGAGAGUCCCCAUGGUCUUGUCCUUUCCUUGUCUGGCCUUCUGCCAUAAAAAGCAGGAGAAUAUCACCAAACUAAAGCAUCAGAGACCAUCAGUGGCCAUUGACACCUCUGCCCAGAAGGUAGAGAAUCUCUGGCUGUGUGCUUGAAGAUGAGGAUCCGCCAUGGUCUUGUCGUUGCCCUGUCUGGGCCUGCUGCCAUUACAGGUAUCCAUGUGUCCCAACAACUGUCCAUCCAUCGAACCAGCUGUCAGUCUGUCCCUCCACGUGUCCAUCCAUCCAUCCAUCUCUCCAGGUGUCCAUGCCUCUCAAAGCUUGUGCAUGUAUCCAGAUCCUCAUUGGUUCCUCCAGGUGUCCAUCCAUCACUCCAGAGGGCCACAUGUCCCAACCACUGUCCAUCCAUCUGCACCAUAGGUGUCCAUCUGUCCCACAA